rnacentral:rRNA from 1 species
AUUGAACGCUGGCGGCAGGCUUCACACAUGCAAGUCGAGCGGCGCGGCGGAUGGGUGAGUAAUUCUUAGGAAUCUGCCUAUUAUUGGGGGACACCAUCUCGACAGGGCUGCUAAUACCGCAUACUUAUAUAUCAGCCUAAGUCGGAUUAGCUAGUUGGUGGGGUUAAGGCCUACCAAGGCGACGAUCUGUAGCGGGUAUGAGAGGAUUAUCCGCCAAAAUGGGACUGAGACACGGCCCAGACGCCGACGGGAGGCAGCAGUGGGGAAUAGUGGAAAAUGGGGGGAACCCUGAUCCAGAGAUGCCGCGUGUGGGAAGAAGGCCUUAUGGUUGUAAAGCACUGUAAGCGAGGAGGCGUUACUCGCAGAAUAAGCACCGGCUAACUCUGUGCCAGCAGCCGCGGUAAUUC